rnacentral:lncRNA from 1 species
GGGGUCGUCCGUGUCAGCGGCGUGCGGACUGUGAAUUCUGCGGACUCGCUCUGGCCUCCCGGCGUGGGCGCGGCCUGCUUCCUGCCUGGCAGAGGGGGCUGUGCUACACGAGCUGGGAUGGUCUCUACUGAGUGGUAGGAUUCACAGACGUUCCAGGUCACCCAUGUCAGGAUCAUUCCUUGUGCAAAGUCUGAUGUAGAUGAAGAUAAAGUGGUUUCUUGGUCAAUAACUGCAAUUUCUUUCUUUUAAAGUCAGUGGGUUUCUUGUAUCUGUAACCACAGUAGAAAGAUCAUGGUUUAAACACUUUGAUAGCUGACCUAGUCUUUGGUCACAUACCGAGAAGAACUACUAGUCACCAUUAAACUAGCAUGAAUCCUGUGUGUGCGUCACUUACAGUUCUAUUACAAUCGGCCCCGCUUUAAUUUCAUCCAUCUCCAUGAAAGCAAAGCACUUGGUGCUGGUGAACCUUUUUUUAGGCUUGUAGUGUUUGAAUUCAAAGAAGAUAGCUGCACCUAAGGGAUUAAAACAGACCACAUUAGCCACAGACGCAGACUUUCACGUGCCCACACAUUUAUCUUCUCUGAUCAGAUCACCGGAAGCACAUGGAGAAGCAGCAGGCGGCAUAAUUUACAAAGUAACCUUUGUCAAACAAUCGCCCUGAUGCUACGACUCUCCUUGUCACCCAAAGCUCUUCUCCGUCUGAACGCAGUGACCUCUGUCCACAUCCUCCCAGUCCUACAAAGCACAGCAGAACUUCCUGAGCUGGGCGGCCUCAAGAUCUCACGCACGUUCCCACACGGGUAGAAUCGUAAGCCACUGAAGGACAGAACCUCUUCAAUAGCACAGAACGAACACACAGGAUGCUGGUGAAGUAUUGACAUGAUCCACAGAAACUCACUAAGUAGCAGAGGCCUGUAAGCGUUCAUGAAAAAAUUCGAGCUUACGUCACUUCUGCUGAGAGAAAAGCUCAAAAAUUCAACUUUUUUGAGUGUCUCAGAGUUCAAACAACAUAGAUGGUGUGCUGGUUCAGUUUUUAACUGCCAUCUACUUCCUAGGGCCUUUUAGAGUGUUUGGAGCACUGUCCUGUUUUUCCCAGAAUCCCCUAUGUUUGGGUACCGAUGGCGUAUCGGAAGGCAAAGUCUGGAGAACAAGCCUAUUCCUGCGUCACCCCUUCCCCAAUGAGCAGGCGGGGAGGAAAAAUUCACACGUUCUGACCUCCCCAAAGAUAAGCCCAACGGAUCAGCUCUCCCCACAGAAAGCAGCUCAAAACAGAAUAAGCUGCCUCGUCAACGUGGGCACGAACAGUUACUUUCUAAAGAAGGCGUGGAAACUAGUUGGGAGGAAGCUGGGGUCUCACUCUCAGCCGGCUACUUCAUUCUGCCUGCACCGCAGUGGUGCCAGAUCUUGCUUGGCUUUUAAGGACGACACGCGUCCGGUACCUAAACCGGUGACAGAACCCACGGGUGACAAGAGGUUUAACAGAAAUGUGUAUGCAGUCCUGGCACCCGGGUCCGCCCGUCACAGCAGACAGUGGGACGUGGCUGAGGCAGAGGUGGGCACACUCAACCCUCGACCGCCCCGGCACCCGCCAUCCCCAGGAGCGUGACCUUCCGGGUCUACAAAAGGGUCCCUUCUCUUUCCCCUCCGAUGGUAGUAACUGAGGCAAGUUUGGGAUUAAAAACCUUAAACAGAUUUUUAAGAUGGCAGAUCACAUUUCUUAGUCUCUGCAGCUAUGGACCCACCUACUUGUCCGCACGCCUGUGUCUGGGGUCUGAAUAAAUGUGAAAAUAAAGUCACAUUUGAAAACAGGACCGAGGUCCAAAUACGAUGCCAUCCUCUCAAGGAACUUACUCAUCUGCAUUGUGAGUAGGUAAUAUAUUUCCGGCAUCCCUGGUGGGCGCAGCUUUGUUCUUCGUGGUAUUUAGAAGAAAGAAGAGAGUGUGAAAGGGGACUAGUGUACGGAGAUUAACGGAAAUGCUUGGAAACAUGAAAAAAGUUUUCAUUUCAGUUGCGACUAUAGUAAUACUGUCCACCAUAAAUUCAAAGUUAAAGAAAAUGAACGGAAUCAAAUUCUGAAUACAGUUGUACUUUCAGCAUCUUGGGAGUCAAGUCCUCAGGAACACAGCACCAAAAAACCCGGGGAAGCGAGCCCACGAAAUGGUCCCCAUCUCUCCAUAUCAGAAACACUUCCCAAAGCAAGGGACUUAAACGCAAAUGUUUUCGUAUUUUCGUGCAGAGGGCAGAACUGCACACUGAAACGUCUUGGACCUGGGUCCUUAAGCACAUCCACCUCCGUAUUCUUCUAACAGCGAUUCGCAAACUUUGGCGCACCUCGGAAUCGUGUAGAAGACCCCCAGAACCAGAGCGCGGGGCCCAGCCCGGGGGGGCCCGGGACUCAGGAGGGCCUGCCGCUCACACCUGGAGCCACUGCGCUGACAGACCCCGGGGGAGACCGUCGUUCGGGGUGGAGCAGAGGCCACGGCAGCACCGGAUCGGAGAAGUAAAAUGUCAACUAUUUUAGAGGAUGGAGCGAUCGUCCAAGAGGCUCUUCUGUAUCUUGUACGAGCUUCUUGCAAAGCGUGAAAACGUCAACAACCGCCAGGGAAUCUGGGGUGAGAAAGGGACCGAGGCCUUUUCACAGACCACGACGGUCCCCCCCGGGGCAGGCCGCUCGGAGAAGCAUUCGGUCCCAGGAGCCAUCUGACUUGGAAGCGGAACUUCACCUUUUCCAAACUUUGAUUUUGCUCCUUCCCAUCCUCCUCCUGACCGAGCACAAGGUGCGGGGUCCUCCUUCCCAAAAGCUGCAGCUGGAAAAACAACUUGUUCUGUCAACUGUCAGCCUCCACUGCCGAGGAGCCUGAGGGAGCCGCUGCCCCCUCUGCCCCUUAGGAUGCAGAAAACUUCAUUUGGUUCAUUGUUCACGAUGAUGAGGUUUAUUAUCAAAGACCGUUUUUGUUUGUUUUUUUUUUACAUUUAUUUUUGAGAGAGAGAGAAAGAGCAUGAGCGGGGGAGGGGCAGAGAGAGAGGGAGACACAGAAUCCAAAGGAGGCUCCAGGUCCCAAGCUGUCAGCACAGAGCCCGACGCGGGGCUCGAACCCACAGACCGCAAGAUCAUGACCUGAGCCGAAGUCGGUCGCUCAACCAACUAAGCCACCCAGGCGCCCCCAAGACCAUUUUAUUAUCUAACGGUUAUCUAUGACACAACCAGCUAAUACAAUGCCUAAUUCCCACAUCUGAAAAAUCGAUAUUGCGUUCAAGUCAAGGAACACCGUAUGACAUUUACUUCUGCCGACCGCGCUAGGCCACCGGGCACAGAAACACCAACGGGAGGAGAACUCUGGCCACGAGAAGCCAAUGCAAUGAUUUACCAUCACGAACCAACCUUUGGUUAAUUUUUCAACAUGCUUCUGGAGCUCAAUGUCCACAUUAAAAUGAACAUACGUAUCUUCUUUUCUUGAAGCCACAGGAGUAUCUUGCACAGGAGUUAAAUCUAUGCCAUUCAGAUCUAGAGAGGAAAGAAGAGUUUCAAAUACAGAGACUCAAAAACUGCAAAUGAACCACAGAGCGUUACAUUUCCUCCAGAGGCUUGGCAAAAGCAGAGAGGAGAUUCUUGGGUAACAGACACUCCCUUUGGCGUGAAUGGGUUCCUACAGAGCUUCUGGUGUCCGGAGGUGUUGGGGGGGGGGGNNGGGGGCAGGGGGCUGGGGACAGAGAUGGUGGCAGGGGCGCGGGGGGGCGGACUCGGGGCCAAGGGCGAGGAAGCCCUGCCGUGACUGGGUGCAAGUGCAAGUCUGAAGCGACAAAAUUCGGUCCUUAUUACGAGGCGAAAAGAACUCUUGUCGUCCUUCGGCCACUACCCCGUUGUCUGCAGUACAAAUUUGGAACGUGAAUCCUAUUCCACGGUGGGGGCCCUACCCCUAUUUUCCAACCCUGAUCAAGCGCAUGGCGUGGAAAGGCCUCUCAUCGAACAUGACCAGAAUUCCCCUGUUGUACUCAAGUCAGAGCCCAAACAAUGGACAUGGAAGCUGCCAAUGAAACCGUUCCCUAAACGGGUAAUUUUUUAUACGCAUCACCUACAUUCUGAUUGUAUCUGCUAUAAAGUAACCUGAUUUACAACAACCAGAUGGUACACUAUGUGUGGUGUGUGGCUUUAAUUUCCUGCAGCCAGGAAUCUGCCAGCUUAAUCAGAUUCAACAUGGACUCACUUAAUGUCUGGCGUUUCUGUGUGAUUCCACAGACUCCUAUCUCAGGGAACUUAAGACAAUUUCGUACAUUCGAUUAUUGCAGCUCCUAAACACGUUUACCCAAAAACACGUUUCGGUUCAACGUGUAUGCAAGAGGAACGUCAUAUCUACCUCAUCAUCAUUACGCCUUUCUGUUGUACAGCGUGCAGUCCCACAUGAGGUAUGAGGUUUACAAAUGGCCUAUCAAAUAACGGUGGGUAUGAAUACUUCCCAGUAGACCAGGGAUUUGAUAGCUGCUAACAGCAGAGGUUCAAGUAUUGAGCAGCAGUCGGUGGAGCAUGGGGUCCCCACGUCAAGUCUUCUCUGUGUCUGAACUCAUGUUUCUUUUAUGAGAUACUACUGAGCCCACAGGACUGAAUUUACUUCUACGACUGGUAAAAGUUCCUUCCGUGUAAUGUCAGUCCCUGUUUCCUUGGUUUGCCUCAAAGUGCAGACGGACUGAGAUUAUUUGUGCAGUUACGUCUGAAUAAAAGUAUGACAACUUCAUCUGCAGUCACCCAAUAAUCAUUUCUAGAAGACCACUGGCAGCUUCACAAUAAAGUGCUGGAUGAAAGGCGUGACACCAGCAAAUGCUUUCGAUCGGUGUGCUGUCCAUCUUAAACCAAAGACUAAAAAAGCGGUUUUCUAGGAAUCACUGGUAUGUCCCACUGGACAGGAGAAAAACCAAAUCCUCAAGACAAUCACCCUUAAUAAGAAACACAUCACUCUUUAAUGCCCCUCAGGAUGACGUUCAGAUAUGGAUGUUUAUAGACGCGUCCCACUUCCUGUCUCCAGGGACGAUGCACCGGAGGCCGGAUUCUCACCCACCCCUGGCAGGGCUCCUCUGUGCCUCAAGCAUUACAGCAGGAAGCAGAGAACCCGGAGGGGAGGGUGGGGGGGGCGGGUUGACAGGAGAACAUGGGGCUUCGCAAAGAAAACCACACACCCUGAGAAGGUGAGCAGAAGGACCUGUUAUUAAAGACAGGGUGUAUGUCUCGUCAGUGUAUAUGUCUAGAUGGAAUUUUAAGAAUAUAGACACAUAUGGGGUGCUGGGUGGCUCAGUCAGUUGAGCUCCGGCUCUUGGUUUCGGCUCAGGUCAUGAUCUCACAUUUCGUGAGUUCGAGCCCCACGAUGGGCUCUGAGCGGACAGUGUGGAGCCUGCUUGGGAUUCUCUCUCUCCCUCCCUCUCCCCUCCCCUGCUCACGCUGUCUCUGUCUCUCCCAAAAAGAAAAAAAAAAAGAGAUUUACAAAAACACGCUCAAAAGCAACUGUGCAUGAAGGUUAUAAAUAACAAAGUAUUUUUAGUAAACCUCUCAGAAAAUAUUCAGUGAAGGAAAGAGGACAGCUUCCCAGGGAUUUUAUCUCGGUGUAGAAUGAACUCAAAUGAGUUGUCGCAGAGGCGAGAACCCACCCCCAUAGCCCCUCAUGUCCCAAACGAGAAUCAACAUUAUAAAAUUCACAAGAGGCGAAAAUGUACACAGAGUUAUUUACCCUUUACACUAACUGUAAUAUAGGGGUCGAUGCACUGCCCCGCAUCCUUCAGACCGAUUUUCUCAAUUCUGAUAGUGAGUAACGUCAU